UGGCGGUUACGAAGGGAUUUGAACCCUCAUCAUCUCCCGUGACAGGGGAGUAUUUUAACCAAAUUAAACUACAUAACC
rnacentral:tRNA from 4 species